rnacentral:rRNA from 1 species
GACGAACCGAGCGAACGUUAUUCGGAAUCACUGGGCUUAAAGGGCGCGUAGGCGGGCGGCCAAGUCAGGGGUGAAAGCCCCCAGCUCAACUGGGGAAGUGCCUUUGGAAACUGGGGAACUUGAGUGCAGAAGAGAAAAGCGGAAUUCCACGUGUAGCGGUGAAAUGCGUAGAGAUGUGGAGGAACACCAGUGGCGAAAGCGGCUUUUUGGUCUGUAACUGACGCUGAGGCGCGAAAGCGUGGGGAGCGAACAGG